rnacentral:rRNA from 1 species
GAUGAACGCUGGCGGCGUGCCUAAUACAUGCAAGUCGAGCGAACAGAUUAGACGCUUGCUUCUAUGACGUUAGCGGCGGACGGGUGAGUAACACGUGGGCAACCUGCCUGUAAGACUGGGAUAACUUCGGGAAACCGAAGCUAAUACCGGAUAGGAUCUUCUCCUUCAUGGGAGAUGAUUGAAAGAUGGUUCCGGCUAUCACUUACAGAUGGGCCCGCGGUGCAUUAGCUAGUUGGUGAGGUAACGGCUCACCAAGGCAACGAUGCAUAGCCGACCUGAGAGGGUGAUCGGCCACACUGGGACUGAGACACGGCCCAGACCCCGACGGGAGGCAGCAGUAGGGAAUCUUCCGCAAUGGACGAAAGUCUGACGGAGCAACGCCGCGUGAGUGAUGAAGGCUUUCGGGUCGUAAAACUCUGUUGUUAGGGAAGAACAAGUACGAGAGUAACUGCUCGUACCUUGACGGUACCUAACCAGAAAGCCACGGCUAACUACGUGCCAGCCGCCGCGGUAAUAC